CAGCCGCCGCUGGGGACGUUUAGGGGCUGUAUCAGGCUGUUUUGGGGCUGUUUGGGGGCCGCGGCUGCAAGCACCGAGGUGGCUCCACUGGAGGCGGCUGGAGGUGCGGGUGGGUCCGGGAACGGCCGCUCGGCGUGCUGGUCUGUGACUGACAGUUUGGUUAAGCAAAUUCUCCUGAGGAUAGCCUUCUGUAAUCUCCAGAGAUGACAACUGUUGCAGUGCUAGAGGAGGAAUUGCUUUCUGUGGAAAAUGAGCUGCAGGCAGUGGAGAUGCAGAUUCAGGAGCUUCUGGAUAAACAGCAAGAACUCAUUCAGAAGAAGACAAUGUUAAAAGGGCUGAUAAAGAAGUCCUCAGGAGACUUGGAGGCAGGGGGAAGUAAAGAAACUGAAACCUCAGCUGAAGCGUGGUACAAAAAAGAUUUUCCAUGGUAUGAGAAGAUAAAAACUGCACUGCAGAGCAAGUUUAAACUCCAAAAGUUCAGGUCCUUGCAACUUGAAACAGUAAAUGCUGUAAUGGCAGGAAAGGAUGUAUUUCUUGUCAUGCCUACAGGUGGUGGAAAGAGCCUUUGUUAUCAGUUACCAGCUGUCUGUUCUGAUGGUUUCACACUCGUGAUAUGUCCUUUGAUAUCACUUAUGGAAGAUCAGCUCAUGGUUCUGGAACAGCUUGGCAUUUCUGCAACUUUAUUAAAUGCUUCAAGCAGUAAGGAACAUGUGAAGUGGGUUCAUGCUGAAAUGCUAAACAGAAAUUCACAACUGAAGCUCAUUUAUGUGACCCCGGAGAAGAUUGCAAAAAGCAAAAUGUUCAUGUCAAAGCUGGAGAAAGCUUAUCAAGCAGGGUGUCUUGCUCGCAUUGCUGUAGAUGAGGUCCACUGCUGUAGUCAGUGGGGCCACGACUUCAGGCCUGACUACAAGUCCCUUGGUAUCUUGAAAAGACAGUUUCCCAAUGCUCCCUUGAUUGGGUUAACUGCAACCGCUACAAAUCAUGUUUUAAAGGAUGCUCAGACAAUUUUGCAUGUUCAGAAAUGCAUUACUUUUACUGCAUCUUUCAACCGGCCCAAUCUUUACUAUGAGGUUCGGCAUAAACCUUCAAGUAAUGAAGAUUUCAUUGAGGACAUUGUUAAGGUCAUUAACGGAAGAUACAAAGGGCUCUCAGGAAUAGUAUACUGCUUUUCUCAGAAGGACUCUGAGCAAGUUACCAUGAGUUUGCAGAAACUGGGAAUCAAGGCAGGGACUUACCAUGCAAAUAUGGAUGCUAAAUAUAAGACCAAAGUUCAUAAAGGAUGGGCAGCAAAUCAAAUCCAGGUUGUAGUGGCAACUGUUGCUUUUGGCAUGGGAAUAGAUAAACCUGAUGUGAGGUUUGUAAUUCAUCAUUCCAUGAGCAAGUCAAUGGAGAAUUACUACCAAGAGAGUGGACGUGCAGGUAGGGAUGACCAAAAAGCUGACUGCAUUUUGUAUUAUGGUUUUGGAGAUAUAUUCAGAAUCAGCUCAAUGGUAGUGAUGGAAAAUGUAGGGCAAGAGAAGCUGUACGAUAUGGUGUCUUACUGCCAGAAUGCAAGCAAGUGUCGCCGGGUCCUCAUAGCCCGUCAUUUUGAUGAAGUAUGGGAUUCUGCACAUUGCAACAGAAUGUGUGAUAACUGCUGCAGAGAAAACUCACUUGAGAAAAUGGAUAUCACAGGGUACUGCAGGGAUCUAAUCAAGAUACUUGAGCAAGCUGAAAACAUGAGUGAGAAACUCACUCCACUGAAGUUAAUUGAUGCAUGGUCUGGGAAAGGUGUAUCAAAAUUGAGGGUGGCUGAAGUUACUCCACCAAAGCUCCCUCGAGAAGAACUGGAGAGAAUUGUUGCCCAUUUACUGCUGCAGCAGUAUCUGAGGGAAGACUUCAGCUUCACGGCAUUUGCUACAAUAUCCUACCUGAAGAUAGGACCAAAAGCGGGACUGUUGAAAAAUGAGGCUCACCACAUCACAAUACAAGGGACAACAAACAAGAAAAGUGUUCACAGGAAUAAACCAUCUGAGUCUUCAACUUCAAAAGGAAGUAGUGGAAAUGCUCAGACUAUUUCAGAGACCGUCCAAGAUCCAGAGGUGAAGAAGUCACAAGAACGUAAGCGGCAUAGCUGUGGAUCUAACUUAAAAGCAAAGAAGUUUAAGCUUCAAGCAGGUGGAGAUGACCAGCCAGUAGUUCUUGACUGAAUUGUACAGUUGACAUUUAGGAUCUCAUCAUGUUUGCCUCUCCAUGGACAAUCCAGUGUGGUUGGCAGCAAGAAUAGCCUGGUUGAGACAAUAAGCCUGAAGGAGCAGCCUUGUCUACACUUUCAAUUCUGCCUAACCUUACCUGUAAUGGAGGAAUUCAGCUACCUGUACCGCCCUCCUGACCCAACGUUGGCAUUGAGAGUCACAGUCUCUCCUCGACAAUCUGUAUGGACUUGGGAAAAUUUCAGUUACAGCAUUUUUUGCAUCCCAUUUCAGAGGGGCUGCAGACAGCAGGAGAAUAUAUUUCUACUACACAUACAGCUAAGUAAAGAAGUAGUUGACUUCCUUAAAUGCAUGUGUACAUUGGUAUCUUCAGAAAAAGGUAACUGCUACCAUAGUGGUAAAAAGCCAACAGCUGCUACUGACUGCAACAGCUAGUUAGGCACACAAGAGGCUGAAUAAUCUAUUUGCUAGAUUUUUAUUUAUUUAUUUAAGAUUUUCACAGCCAAUGAUCAAUAAGCUGAUGUCAAACCCAUUAUAAACUUAGGUCUGGUUGUCUAGUUGGUUUCAUUUUGGACCCGUUCAGGCAUUCAGAUGUGUAUUAACUUAAAUAUUUU